rnacentral:tRNA from 4 species
GCCGAGGUGGCGGAAUUGGUAGACGCGCCAGGUUUAGGUCCUGGUGGGGCAACCCGUGGAGGUUCGAGUCCUCUCCUCGGCACCA